GACGAACGCUGGCGGCGUGCUUAACACAUGCAAGUCGAACGGUAAGGCCCUUCGGGUACACCAGUGGCCAAACGGUGAGUUACCCGGGGGGGGUCCGCCCUGCACUUUGGGAUUAGCCCGGGAAACCGGGGCCAAUACCGGAUAGGGCCACUUCCUGCCUGGGUGGUGGGGGGAAACCUUUGCGGUGUGGGAUGGGCCCGCGGCCUAUCAGCUUGUUGGUGGGGUGAUGGCCUACCAAGGCGACGACGGGUAGCCGGCCUGGGAGGGUGACCGGCCACACUGGGACUGAGAUACGGCCCAGACUCCUACGGGAGGCAGCAGUGGGGAAUAUUGCACAAUGGGCGCAAGCCUGAUGCAGCGACGCCGCGUGAGGGAUGACGGCCUUCGGGUUGUAAACCUCUUUCAGCACCGACGAAGCGCAAGUGACGGUAGGUGCAGAAGAAGGACCGGCCAACUACGUGCCAGCCGCCGCCGUAA
rnacentral:rRNA from 1 species